rnacentral:rRNA from 1 species
UACGUAGGGAGCAAGCGUUGUCCGGAAUCAUUGGGCGUAAAGCGCGCGUAGGCGGCCCCGUAAGUCCGCUGUGAAGGUCAAAGGCUCAACCUUUGAAAGCCGGUGGAUACUGUGGGGCUAGAGUCCGGAAGAGGCGAGUGGAAUUCCUGGUGUAGCGGUGGAAUGCGCAGAUAUCAGGAAGAACACCCGUGGCUAAGGCGGCUCUCUAGUACGGUACUGACGCUGAGACGCGAAAGCGUGGGGAGCGAACAGG